CGAUACCCACACACAUACGCUAUCCCUGGGGGAGGGAGCUCUUGAACCCGCCAAACAACCGGGUCUAGGUUAAGGGUGUUGCUGUGAACAAUCUCCCCGAGUUAAAGAACUCUGGGGGUAAGCUAAAGCAACUUACCCUGUCAUCCCGACCUUCGUGUGAGGUUAGAGGAGCACGCCAACUCCCUACCACGAGAUAGGAUGUGUAAGUAGAUCCGAUCACAGCAGCUGCCGAAAAUCAAUCCCGGACCAUAGAUGAAACCGGGCUGGAAAUACAGAGAAGACGGAAAGCAGAUCAUCUACGCGUUUCGUCCCCUUUGGAGGACUUUCUCAAGACCAAGAUCUGCUAUCCACAACCUGGGUAUAUAUACCCUACAUGUAAAAAAGUGGUCAUAAUGCUUAAAUUGAAGAUAAUUUGACAUGGGGCAAGUAGCCUACUGAGUGCAUUUAGAAUGCAAAUACAAAAUGCAAUACAUGCUAAAUAACAACCCCUAAAUAAUACUAAAUGUUACUCCAUCAUAAAAGAUAAGUCUUAU